rnacentral:rRNA from 1 species
UAGGGAAUCUUCGGCAAUGGGGGGAACCCUGACCGAGCAACGCCGCGUGAGUGAAGAAGGUUUUCGGAUCGUAAAGCUCUGUUGUUAAGGAAGAACGAGUGUGAGAAUGGAAAGUUCAUGCUGUGAAGGUACUUAACCAGAAAGGGACGGCUAACUACGUGCCAGCAGCCGCGGUAAUACGUAGGUCCCGAGCGUUGUCCGGAUUUAUUGGGCGUAAAGCGAGCGCAGGCGGUUAGAAAAGUCUGAAGUGAAAGGCAGUGGCUCAACCAUUGUAGGCUUUGGAAACUGUUUAACUUGAGUGCAGAAGGGGAGAGUGGAAUUCCAUGUGUAGCGGUGAAAUGCGUAGAUAUAUGGAGGAACACCGGUGGCGAAAGCGGCUCUCUGGUCUGUAACUGACGCUGAGGCUCGAAAGCGUGGGGAGCGAACAGG